rnacentral:rRNA from 1 species
GAUGAACGCUGGCGGCGUGCUUAACACAUGCAAGUCGAACGAGAAGUGGAGACGGAAACCUUCGGGCGGAAGACUUUACUUCGAGUGGCGGACGGGUGAGUAACGCGUGGGUAACCUGCCUCAUACAGGGGGAUAACAGUUGGAAACGACUGUUAAUACCGCAUAAGACCACAGCACCGCAUGGUGCGGGGGUAAAAACUCCGGUGGUAUGAGAUGGACCCGCGUUCGAUUAGCCAGUUGGCGGGGUAACGGCCCACCAAAGCGACGAUCGAUAGCCGAUCUGAGAGGAUGACCGGCCACAUUGGGACUGAGACACGGCCCAAACUCCUACGGGAGGCAGCAGUGGGGAAUAUUGCACAAUGGGGGAAACCCUGAUGCAGCGACGCCGCGUGAGUGAAGAAGUAUUUCGGUAUGUAAAGCUCUAUCAGCAGGGAAGAAAGUGACAGUACCUGAGUAAGAAGCCCCGGCUAACUACGUG